AGAUCAGCCUAUGUCCUAUCAGCUUGUUGGUGAGGUAAUGGCUCACCAAGGCUAUGACGGGUAUCCGGCCUGAGAGGGUGAUCGGACACACUGGAACUGAGACACGGUCCAGACUCCUACGGGAGGCAGCAGUAGGGAAUAUUGCUCAAUGGGCGAAAGCCUGAAGCAGCAACGCCGCGUGGAGGAUGAAGGUCUUCGGAUUGUAAACUCCUUUUCUAAGAGAAGAUUAUGACGGUAUCUUAGGAAUAAGCACCGGCUAACUCCGUGCCAGCAGCCGCGGUAAUACGGAGGGUGCAAGCGUUACUCGGAAUCACUGGGCGUAAAGAGCACGUAGGCGGCCUUGCAAGUCAGAUGUGAAAUCCAACGGCUUAACCGUUGAACUGCAUUUGAAACUGCAAGGCUAGAGUAUGGGAGAGGUAGGUGGAAUUCUCGGUGUAGGGGUAAAAUCAGGGGUAAAAUCCGUAGAGAUCGAGAGGAAUACUCAUUGCGAAGGCGACCUGCUGGAACAUUACU
rnacentral:rRNA from 1 species